rnacentral:rRNA from 1 species
GACGAACGCUGGCGGCGUGCUUAACACAUGCAAGUCGAGCGAUGAAGCUCCUUCGGGAGUGGAUUAGCGGCGGACGGGUGAGUAACACGUGGGUAACCUGCCUCAUAGAGGGGAAUAGCCUUCCGAAAGGAAGAUUAAUACCGCAUAAGAUUAUAGUUUCGCAUGAAACAGCAAUUAAAGGAGUAAUCCGCUAUGAGAUGGACCCGCGUCGCAUUAUCUAGUUGGUGAGGUAACGGCUCACCAAGGCGACGAUGCGUAGCCGACCUGAGAGGGUGAUCGGCCACAUUGGGACUGAGACACGGCCCAGACUCCUACGGGAGGCAGCAGUGGGGAAUGUUGCACAAUGGGGGAAACCCUGAUGCAGCAACGCCGCGUGAGUGAUGACGGUCUUCGGAUUGUAAAGCUCUGUCUUCAGGGACGAUAAUGACGGUACCUGAGGAGGAAGCCACGGCUAACUACGUGCCAGCCGCCGCUGUAAAAC